rnacentral:rRNA from 1 species
CUACGUGCCAGCAGCCGCGGUAAUACGGAAGGUCCAGGCGUUAUCCGGAUUUAUUGGGUUUAAAGGGAGCGUAGGCGGAUUGUUAAGUCAGCGGUUAAAGGGUGUGGCUCAACCAUACAUUGCCGUUGAAACUGGCGAUCUUGAGUGCAGACAGGGAUGCCGGAAUUCGUGGUGUAGCGGUGAAAUGCUUAGAUAUCACGAAGAACUCCGAUCGCGAAGGCAGGUGUCCGGGCUGCAACUGACGCUGAGGCUCGAAAGUGUGGGUAUCAAACAGGAUUAGAUACCCUGGUAGUCCACACAGUAAACGAUGUAUACUCGCGGUUUGCGAUAGAGUGUAAGCCGCCAAGCGAAAGCAUUAAGUAUACCACCUGGGGAGUACGCCGGCAACGGUGAAACUCAAAGGAAUUGACGGGGGCCCGCACAAGCGGUGGAGCAUGUGGUUUAAUUCGAAGCAACGCGAAGAACCUUACCAGGUCUUGACAUCC